AAAAAAUUAGCAUUCAGUAUUUUGGAGUUUAAGGGUUUCUUCCUUUAUUUCCCUCAUAAAUUUCUGUUCUUACAAACUAACAAGAUGGUCAGUGCCAAGAAACUUCUGAAAUUGGCAAGGAAAUGGCAGAAGAUGGCUGCUAUCAGGCAAAGAAGAAUCACGUCGCCACGAAACAUGGGAAGUAUAGAUACAACCAGUUGCAGCACAUCAUCAACGGCUGAUAAAGGCUAUUUUGUGUUGUACUCUGCAAAUCAAAAAUUCUUUCUUCUUCUCUUGAAAUAUCUUAACAAUGAAAUGAUUAGAGAGCUAUUCAACAUGGCAGAAGAAGAGUUUGGAUUGCAAAGCCAAGGGCCACUUACACUACCUUGGGACGCAGAUCUUAAUUAUGAAAUACGCAAUUGCUUUGAUCAAACAGAAUGCUACUAGAGAUGUACAGAGAACACUGCUGGUGUCAAUAGCUAGCAGUUGCUGCUCAUCAUUUUUCCAUUUCCAACAUCAAGCAACAAGCCACCAGUUACCAAUUUGCAGCUUCUGAAGAGUCACAAUAGAUUCAUAAAGAUGCACAUACAAGUGUGCAAUUUAUUUCAUAGAAAAUACAAAAUAUUUUCUCCUGCUCCUGCCCAGUUAUUAUCACUAUCCAUAAUUUUUAAAAUCACUGUAAAUGAUAUGUGUUGUCCAAUAAAUCAUCUGACACAUAUGAUUUUGACAUCUGGGAAUCAGUUUAAAAUGCAAAACAAGAGAUU
rnacentral:misc_RNA from 1 species